UACGUAGGGUGCAAGCGUUAAUCGGAAUACUGGGCGUAAAGCGUGCGCAGGCGGUUGUGCAAGACAGAUGUGAAAUCCCCGGGCUUAACCUGGGAAUUGCAUUUGUGACUGCACGGCUAGAGUGUGUCAGAGGGGGGUAGAAUUCCACGUGUAGCAGUGAAAUGCGUAGAUAUGUGGAGGAAUACCGAUGGCGAAGGCAGCCCCCUGGGAUAACACUGACGCUCAUGCACCGAAAGCGUGGGGAGCAAACAGG
rnacentral:rRNA from 1 species